rnacentral:tRNA from 1 species
GGUGGCUCAGUGGUAGAGCUCUUGCCUUGCAUGAAUGAGGCCCUGGGUUCGAUUCCCCAGCACCA